UACGUAGGGGGCAAGCGUUGUCCGGAUUUAUUGGGCGUAAAGAGCUCGUAGGCGGUUUGGUAAGUCGGGUGUGAAAACCCCCAGGCUCAACCUGGGGACGCCACCUGAUACUGCUAUGACUUGAGUCUGGUAGGGGACCACGGAAUUCCUGGUGUAGCGGUGAAAUGCGCAGAUAUCAGGAGGAACACCGGUGGCGAAGGCGGUGGUCUGGGCCAGUACGUGACGUGAGGAGCGAAAGCGUGGGUAGCAAACAGG
rnacentral:rRNA from 1 species